rnacentral:rRNA from 1 species
AUUGAACGCUGGCGGCAUGCCUUACACAUGCAAGUCGAACGGUAACGGGCCUUCGGGUGCCGACGAGUGGCGAACGGGUGAGUAAUACAUCGGAACGUGCCCGAUCGUGGGGGAUAACGAGGCGAAAGCUUUGCUAAUACCGCAUACGAUCUACGGAUGAAAGCAGGGGACCGCAAGGCCUUGCGCGGACGGAGCGGCCGAUGGCAGAUUAGGUAGUUGGUGGGAUAAAAGCUUACCAAGCCGACGAUCUGUAGCUGGUCUGAGAGGAUGAUCAGCCACACUGGUACUGAGACACGGCCCAGACUCCUACGGGAGGCAUCAGUGGGGAAUUUUGGACAAUGGGCGCAAGCCUGAUCCAGCCAUGCCGCGUGCAGGAUGAAGGCCUUCGGGUUGUAAACUGCUUUUGUACGGAACGAAAAGCCUUCUUUUAAUACAGGAGGGUCAUGACGGUACCGUAAGAAUAAGCACCGGCUAACUACGUG